ACGGGGGCCGUUCCGCGUCCGGGAGCCACAGUAACGCUGCUAAUUUGCACUCACACAGCUCGGCCCUCCCCGGGCCCUCCUAGCGUUUCUCAGACCAGCGUGUGCCACCCGGAGUGCGGGGACCAGGGCUGUGACGGCCCCGGCGCCGAUCAGUGCCUCAACUGUGUGCACUUCAGCCUGGGCAGCGCCAAGACCGGCAGGAAGUGCGUGAGCGAGUGCCCCCUGCUUUAACCUUCUCCCCUGGGGCCUUUGUUUCCUGGGCGGCUG